rnacentral:rRNA from 1 species
CGGACGGGUGAGUAAUGUCUGGGAAACUGCCCGAUGGAGGGGGGUAACUACUGGAAACGGUAGCUAAUACCGCAUAACGUCGCGAGACCAAAGAGGGGGACCUUCGGGCCUCUUGCCAUCGGAUGUGCCCAGAUGGGAUUAGCUAGUAGGUGGGGUAAAGGCUCACCUAGGCGACGAUCCCUAGCUGGUCUGAGAGGAUGACCAGCCACACUGGAACUGAGACACGGUCCAG